rnacentral:tRNA from 1 species
GUGGUGGCUUAGCCGUAGAGCACUUGCCUCGCAUGUGCAAGGCCCUGGGUUCAAUCCUCAGCACCACA